UACGUAGGGUGCGAGCGUUAAUCGGAAUUACUGGGCGUAAAGUGUGCGCAGGUGGCCGCGCAAGUCGAGUGUGAAAUCCCCGGGCUUAACUUGGGAAUUGCGCUCGAAACUACGUGGCUCGAGUGUGGCAGAGGAAGGUGGAAUUCCACGUGUAGCGGUGAAAUGCGUAGAGAUGUGGAGGAACACCGAUGGCGAAGGCAGCCCUUCUGGGCCAACACUGACGCUCA
rnacentral:rRNA from 1 species